UUAAUUUUAAUUUUAAUUAUUUUAUUAAAAUUCAGAUACUGAAACAAAAAGUGAUCUUCUUUUACAUCUACAGCCUGCUAAAUGAGUUCCCAAAACCUUUGAGUGUGAGCCAGAUUUAUUUUUGAUUCAGAAAGUCCUUUUUCACUGUGAUCUGCAUAUUGCCUCCUCUGUGGACUGGGGAGUUAAAGCAGCAUUCAUCUGUCUGUAGACUGCACUCUGGAAAAUCCUUAGUGGGCUGAUCCCCUGGGAGAUAAGACUGGAAUCUACAGCCUGGCCUGAGCAGUGGCACUGUCAGAUGUUGCCUUUGUGUAAUACCUGCACCACCACCUGGAAUGUGAAAUACUGGCAGCUCUGGGUUUCCUUUAGGAGCUUCAGUGCCGCCACUGAAGUGCAGAGAAAACCUUUCUGUUGCCCACCUGCUCCCUGUCCCUAGGUUUUGCUUUGGGUUUGCAGCGUUACCAGAUGCAAGUGUUUCAUUUACAAGCUGCAAAUGUUUAGGGGAGUGUAAAGACUUUGGUGGGCUGUGCCAGUCCUGGAAACCUAAUCUGCUGCCACCCUGUCAUGCCUCUCUGAAAGGGAACUGCUGCAGAAUCUAAAUGGUGAGUCUUGCUCCUUCUGCUUUUCUUCAGUUCUGAGGAAAAAUUCACGUUCAAAUGAAACAGAAAAAGAAAAAAGCCUCCUUUGAAGUGCCUCCCAAGGACCAGCAGCUCCUGGGAAGUGCUGUUGGUAGGUGGUCUGAUGGCAGGAAAGUUUUGCUGGACUGGGAGUAAGAUUGCAAAGUGGCAAUGCAGGAGAGCCUGCUUCAGUUUUGUUUCUGACUCUGACUGACUGUUUCUGGCCAAGUCACUUAACCUGAUGGAUAAAAGGAGAGCAGUGGGUUUAAUCCAUCUUUUGUGGGGCCCUGUGGGAGUGCUUGAGCAAUCAUUUGAUCCAGUUAUGCUCACCAUACUUACCUUCCCAAGGCACUGCAAAGCUCUCCCUGGUGAGAGUUAAGGGCUGGGUGCUAUAAAGUGUGCACUAUUACCUUGGAGCUAAUGUUCUCCCACAGUCAUUCUUUUAGAAAAUAGCAUUUUAAUAAGUAAAUGUAAAAAUAAUCAUCAUAAUGAAAUAUUAAAAGCACUAGUCAAGGUAAAUCCCAAAGCCACAGGGACCAAAUUGUUAACUCUCCUUUAUUGUUCCUUGUCCUGUCUUUAGGAGCCAAUUAUUUUUAUAGUGCAAAGAACAUUUGUGGAGAGCAGACACUGUUAAAAGCUGAAAAUUUACUGUAGCAAUAUUGUGGAGAUUGCCUGUGAGCAAAAGCUGGAGAACAGAUACACUUGUUGAGGGAAAAAUAUCCCCUCCUCUAGUUAUAAGAGUGAUAUAAUUUAAUGUAGCAGUACACACCAUAAUUCAUAGCAUUGUUUGUUCCUGUGCUGUGUCCAGCUGCAAGGAUGGAUGGAGCAAAGAUCAAAAGUUGAACCAUCAAAUUCCUGGUGCUGCUGAGGGCUGCCCUGAGGAAGGAGAGGAUUGCCCAGAGUGCAGAAAGGCAAGCAGCUACCUACACCUCUGUGUUAUGUGUCCCCAACACCACUAUGCUGUAGCACAGCUGUAUGUGUGGAAUAUUCCUUACAAGGCAGUAUGAACAGUGGUGGGUGUCCUCACAUUUCCAGAAUGUAGAAAUACUAAUGAAAUCUGCUGAUGAAACCAAGCUGGGAGGUAUCAUGAGGGCAGAGGUGGAUUCCAGCACUGCAAGAGCUGAAGACUCUUUGUGACUGGAGUGAUCAAGGUGGAGGAACCAGACCAUGGAGGGCAUAAAGGAUUUGUCCAAAGGAUCAGCGAGUCAUUUUUAAGCAAGGAGUCCUCAUCUACCUAGCCACCAGACAUUCAUCUUGUCCUGCAAACUUCCAGCUAGAUGGAUUGCUGCUUGACAGAAAUAUGUGUGUAUACAUAUCCACAUAAAUAUGUUUCCAAAAGAAGAAAAGAAAGAACAGAUCUUUACCUCUUUUUGCUGAGCCUGCACAGGUAGAGAGAGGAACAGGUAAAGUUGACUGAAGGGUGGGAGAGCUCUAGCACAGCCCUUUGGUCUUGCUGGAGCCCACCUCUCUGCCAGUGUUCGGCUCCCAGAAGAGAUCCUGAAGUGUCUGGGGGAGGACACUCGGGGCAGGGUGAGCGGAGCCCCGUCAGCUCCCAGGAGCUCAGCCUGUGGUCUGACACUGUCUCACUGGCUGGACAUCCCCUCCAGCCUGGAGGACCAGUGCUGGGGGAGACUCGCUCCUGAGCUGUUCCUGACAUGCACUGGCAGCUGUCUGCUUGCUAUUCUUUUAAAGGGUCUUCGUGGAUCAGGAUAAAAUGUGAUCUUACGCAGGCGGCAUUGUAAGCGCAACUUGGCUCAGGUUCAGCUCUUCCUCUGGCUCCCAGCUACUCUAUUUUUAUUGAAGGAAUUUGAGGCUAUCAGAAAGGAAGUCAAAUUGUUUUAGGAAAACAAUAGAAAAGCAACUUGAAGUUUAUUAGCUUCCUGCCCAGGGCCUGUGACCAACUUGUCAAAGUUAUUAGAGUGAUGGCAGAACUAUUUAUUUAAAAGGGCCCACGAUUUCAUUCCUGUUUGGGCCUUAGUGAAAACAAAGGAAAGCCAUAAAAUAAUAUCUGAAGGGAGCAGAUGGCUAACUGGUAAAUGGUGUAAGGUUGGCCUGUGAGCCAACACUGGUGGUGUUCCACCAGUGCAAUGGCUUUUGUGGGAUUUUUUGCCAAAUGAAUGCCUGGACUUGCAUUCACAGGCCAGUCUCAUCACCCCAAAUUCCUUACUGUGGCUCAUAUUUUCAAGUGGAAGCCUCACACCUAAGAAAACAAAUUUGGCAGGAAAAGGUCUUCAUUUAGAGCUACUGAAAGGAGGGAAACAAUGCAGCAGGUCUGCAGGAGAGCCAGGAAUAGAGCCCAGGUGUCCCUGACCCUGUUGGACUGCUGGAGCCCCUCGAAAAAUAUUUAUAUCCUACAGAAGCAGCUGCAGCCUGCUUCCCCAUCUAGCUCCCCCAAAGCAGCCACACCAUGAAGUCACUGAAUGCAUGCUGGCAUGUAGCUGGUGAGAAGAAUGGGCAGCCAAAUCAUCAAAGUGCCUGUGAGCCUGAGCCUCCCUGAGGAGCUUCAUGGUUUGCAACAAAACAAGAAGAGAACAAAACAGGUAACUGAGAAGCGUUUGCAAACUCUACCCAGAGCAAUGCCACAUGCCUUGUUCAGAGGGCCCUCUGCUAACUGAGUGUUUAACCAGCUUCCAGGGAGGAUAUAGGAAGAACUCACCUCUCCUUUCAGCAGUGCAGUCUCUAGGAACUCGGGUGCUGAGGUACUCAGCUCGCAGAGCUAUGCACAGAGGCUUUGCACAGCUCAGCAACCACUCUUCAGAUGAAAGGAAGAAGAACCCACCUCAAGAAUUCUCUUCCUUCUUCUCCUCAUUAGCUUAACUAAAAGUGGGAAUGCAAAGCUGCAGUUUUCUCUGAGGCCUGGGGCAAUAAUGCAUCUUGUAUUGGCAAGUGAUAGAAGAUCUUGGUUUAUAUGUUCCCUUUAAUUUAUCCAGGUUAGGUGUUUAUAAAAGAGUCAAACUGAGUGCAUUAUCUCUGUAAGGCCCUAAGAAACUGGGUCUUAAAAACUUGGUAAUUUUAAUGUAAGUGCAACAAUCUUUCCUUUAUUUAAGGUGUCCUUGCAGCUUUUAGAAGGUUUCUGUAAUUUCUUUUCCUCUGAGAUAUUGCCUUAGUGAGCAAAUCAGCCAAAGAAGUGUGCUGAGCAAUGCAGCAUCCCAGUUCAUCACAGUCUGUAGGUGUUUACUUCAAAUUAAGUACAUUCUUGAGUUGCAUUGAUUGCAGUGUAAUUUAAUAGUCUGGAAGUUAGGCACCCUACACUGCCAGCCAGGCCAGCUUUCCUGGGGCAAUUCCAAGGCAGACAGCAGAUAGUGGAUAUACCUCUCCGUGGCCUCUGCAGGAAGAGAUGCCACAUCACAUGAUGGUGUUCUGGCAGCAGAAAAAUAUUUUAUUUGUCCUUAUUUGGGGUCUGCGUCAUCUGGGCUGGUAUCACUUAAUCUGUGCUUUGUUCUGGUGAGUAGUGUUUUGAUUCUGAAUGUGAUCUGUGAGAGUUUUUUGUCCGUCUCUCAGGCCUGCUGGACUCCUGGUAGCCCCUGAGGCUGAGAUCCUGCAAAGUCCUGGUCAUGUGAGUGACUUGAUAUAGUUACAGCCUGGGGCCAUCUGUGUGAGUAAGGUCCCUCCAUGUACCAAUGUCAUAGAAAGGAAAAUGCUGCAGAUUAUUGAAACUCAUGAUUGUUUUUUUCCUUCCAGAACCCAACAUGGUUUCUCAGAAGCUCCUGGAAUGACAGCAGUUCCUAGCCCGCUGCACACAUGGCUGAUGGGAGGACUUCUCACCCCAAAAGGCUGUGACAUGAAGCCAUGUGGUGCCAGUGCUGGCACCAGGUUCCUGGGAUGUGCUCUCCCAUCCUGGAGUUAAGGACUUGUGCUGCUGCAAGACCCCCAGCUCUAAACCUUGAGGCUUUAGGAAAAGUCUGCCAAGGUAGAAAGAAUCUCAGGCACGUGUCUCUUCCUAAAGCAAGCUGUGGGGUAGGAGGACCUCAGCCUGCUCUAUACUUUCUCCACAGAGGGAAGAGACACCAGGAGGUGAAUCUGCUCUGAAGGCAAAGAUCUCUAGAGCUUUCCCUGGAAGUCAGCUUCAGAGGAAGAAACAGCUGAAAGGAUUUGAGGGAAAAGGGACAUGUGCUUGGAUGAUGUUGAGUGAAACUGAAAAGUAAACAGUCUGAGUUAUGGGAGGAUUCUCAGAUGGUGCAUAUUGCUCCCAGCCAGCUUGUUCUCUUUUGUGAUGGUCUGAAAGAAUCUCAAGGCAUGACCUCAUGGGUAAAAUUAAGAACGUUAUUAAUUAAAAAAAUCCAUGAAUCAUGAUUCUUCCCACCAAUUUUGUGAUGUGUGUUGGCUGGAUUCUGAAGCCUUCUGUAAAGUAAAUCACAACAAAUGGUGGGGGGCAGGAGGGCACUGCUGGCCCAAGCAGAUUAGAAGGGUGCAUUUUAUACUAGAAGACCAAAUAUCCAUGCGUGUGCAAGAGCUCACAAGCCCAGCAGUGCUGUGGGACAGGGAAAACGCCUUUUUAAGGGGCUUUCCUUUCCAAAGUGUGCCAUGAGCCCUGUGAGAGAAGCAGGCAGCCCUGCUCCUUCAUGCUGCACUUCUGUGUGGCUGCAUGAAGCCAAAUCCUCUCACAGGCACACACCAGGCAUGUGGUGUCCUGCGGGUUUAUCAGAGGAAAACUUGGAAAAGAUUUGUACCCAGUUUUGCUUUCUGGAAGGGUGAAGGAUUUGGUCAGUUCAAAUCUCCAUAAUUGUUUUUCUGGACAGCUGGGUUUCCUGGUAAAACCCUGUCUGUCCACCCAGAGAGGUGAGAGGCUGCAGAGGAAACAGGUGCGUGCAUGAGUCACCUGCAGCCACAAAGCCAAGGAAGUGGUGCCCUGGCUUCUCCCCACAGCCACACAGGGAGCCCUCCUGGCUCUCCAGGUGGCCACAAGCUCAUGUUUAAAGUUACAAGGAGUGGGGAGGAGGCUAGGGAGUUCUCUGAGGACUGAAGUCCUGCCAGAGGCCUAACAUAGAGCUUUCCCCACUUAGCUUCCCAUUUAAUUUAAUUUAAUUUAAAUUCUCUCUUGGUGCUCAUACAUAGUAUGAUGCUCUGCUCCAUGUAAAUCCAGGCACUUCAUUCUCACUGGGUUCUUUGCAUGCUGGAGCAUCUUGUUUUUAUAAUGCUAAGUGGAGGCAAAGAUGAAGUACGACCACAGGACACAUGAGAGAAAACAAUCCCCAAAAUUGCUACCUGUACUUAAGUGUUUCAUUUGUGGGUUAAUGUCUUUUAUCUCUCUGAUUUAGUGACUCACAGAUGUUUUCAGAAUGGGCUUGCACUGUUGAAAAACCCCUGUACAAGCUCAUCAAGAAACCUGGGGAUAAAAUCUGACCAGUAAGUGAUGUCAGACAGGAUUGUGUUUGCUUGCUGAUGUUUAUUGCUUUCCUUGAAAUGGUGGAAAAGGAAGAAAUAUUUAGACUUGAUUGAAACAAGUUGAAGUAGCUAUAAAUUCAUUGUUCUUGUUAUGAAUCUUGCAGUUCUGUUUGGCUUCUUGGUGAGAAAUGUGAAAUUUAUUUUCCUUAAAAUCUACUCCUCAGGUUCAAUUGGGAUAUGAACAAAUAGCUAUCAAAAUAAUAGGCAAUUUUUUUCCUGGCUGGGGGUGAUUCAUCUUUCUGUGUGUGAGAAACAGAGAUACCUAAGCAGUGCAUAUUAGUAGGAUAUAUGGUUUUUGCAUGUGAUACCCAUGUGAUGUGGCAGAGGGACUUCCUAUAAUUAUCCUACGUCUGUUGAAGGAGACCAGUAAAUUGGUUCUUUCAGCCCAA